rnacentral:rRNA from 1 species
AUGGAGCAAUACCACGUGAACGAUGAAGGUCUUCUGAUUGUAAAGUUCUUUUAUUUAGGAAAAAAAGCUGGGCAGGAAAUGGCCCAGCCUUGAUCGUACUAAAUGAAUAAGUGACAGCUAACUAUGUGCCAGCAGCUGCGGUAAAACAUAGGUCACGAGCAUUAUCCGGAUUUAUUGGGCGUAAAGGAAGCGUAGGCGGACAAGCCGAUCUAUUGUGAAAGGCACUUGCUUAACAAGUUGUUUGUGAUAGAAAUCACUUGUCUAGAAUUAGUUAGGAGAUACUGGAAUUCAAUGUGUAGCGGUGGAAUGCGUAGAUAUAUUGAGGAACACCAGAGGCUAAGGCGAGUAUCUAGGACAUAAUUGACGCUGAGGCUUGAAAGCGUGGGGAGCAAAUGGGAUUAGAUACCCCAGUAGUCCACGCCGUAAACGAUGGGUAUUAGGUAUUUGAUUUAUGAUUGAGUGCUGUAGCUAACGCGUUAAAUACCCCGCCUGGGUAGUAUAUAUGCAAAUAUGAAACUCAAAGAAAUUGACGGGGACCU